AAGCUUGCUCCCCGCUGACGAGCGGCGGACGGGUGAGUAAUGCAUAGGAAACUGCCCAGUAGUGGGGGAUAGCCCGGGGAAACCCGGAUUAAUACCGCAUACGCCCUUUGGGGGAAAGCAGGGGAUCUUCGGACCUUGCGCUAUUGGAUGUGCCUAUGUCGGAUUAGCUAGUUGGUGGGGUAAGAGCCUACCAAGGCGACGAUCCGUAGCUGGUCUGAGAGGAUGAUCAGCCACAUCGGGACUGAGACACGGCCCGAACUCCUACGGGAGGCAGCAGUGGGGAAUAUUGGACAAUGGGGGCAACCCUGAUCCAGCCAUGCCGCGUGUGUGAAGAAGGCUUUCGGGUUGUAAAGCACUUUCAGUGAGGAGGAAAACCUUACGACUAAUACUCGUGAGGCUUGACGUUACUCACAGAAGAAGCACCGGCUAACUCCGUGCCAGCAGCCGCGGUAAUACGGAGGGUGCAAGCGUUAAUCGGAAUUACUGGGCGUAAAGCGCGCGUAGGUGGUUUGAUAAGCGAGAUGUGAAAGCCCCGGGCUCAACCUGGGAACGGCAUUUCGAACUGUCAGGCUAGAGUAUGGUAGAGGAGUGUGGAAUUUCCUGUGUAGCGGUGAAAUGCGUAGAUAUAGGAAGGAACACCAGUGGCGAAGGCGGCACUCUGGACCAAUACUGACACUGAGGUGCGAAAGCGUGGGNAGCAAACAGGAUUAGAUACCCUGGUA
rnacentral:rRNA from 1 species